rnacentral:rRNA from 1 species
CACAUGCAAGUCAAUGGGGAAACGGUGCUUGCGACCGUGAUAACCAUGGCGGACGGGUGAGUAACGCGUAAAGAACUUGCCUCUUAGUCUGGGAUAACAGAUGGAAACGACUGAUAAAACUAGAUAUUAUUAAAGUUUCGCAUGAAGCUUUAAUGAAAAGAGAUGCUAAGAGAGAGCUUUGCGUCCUAUUAGUUAGUUGGUGAGGUAACGGCUCACCAAGACGAAGAUAGGUAGCCGGUCUGAGAGGAUGAACGGCCACAAGGGGACUGAGAUACGGCCCUUACUCUUACGGGAGGCAGCAGUGGGGAAUAUUGGACAAUGGAGGAGACUCUGAUCCAGCAAUUCUGUGUGCACGAAGACGGUUUUCGGACUGUAAAGUGCUUUCAGCAGGGAAGAGGAAAGUGACGGUACCUGCAGAAGAAGCGACGGCUAAAUACGUGCCAGCAGCCGCGGUAAUACGUAUGUCGCGAGCGUUAUCCGGAAUUAUUGGGCAUAAAGGGCAUCUAGGCGGAUAUACAAGUCAGGGGUGAAAACUUAGGGCUCAACUCAAAGCUUGCCUUUGAAACUGUAUAUCUAGAGUGCUGGAGAGGUGGACGGAACUACACGAGUAGAGGUGAAAUUCGUAGAUAUGUGUAGGAAUGCCGAUGAUGAAGAUAGUCCACUGGACAGCAACUGACGCUGAAGUGCGAAAGCUAGGGGAGCAAACAGGAUUAGAUACCCUGGUAGUCCUAGCUGUAAACGAUGAUUACUGGGUGUGGGCAUGAAGAGUGUCUGUGCC